rnacentral:lncRNA from 1 species
ACUUUUUUUUUUUUUUUUUUUUUGAGACGGAGUCUUGGCCUGUCGCCCAGGCUGCAGUGCAGUGGCACGAUGUCAGCUCAGUGCAAGCUCCGCCUCCUGGGUUCAUGCCAUUCUCCUGCCUCAGCCUCCCAAGUAGCUGCUACUACAACGCCCGCCACCACGCCCAGCUAAUUUUUUUUUGUAUUUUUAGUAGAGACGGGGGUUUCACUGUGUUAGCCAGGAUGGUCUCAUCUCCUGACCUCGUGAUCUGCCCGCCUCGGCCUCCCAAAGUGCUGGGAUUACAGGCGUCAGCCACCGUGCCCGGCCUGAGAGCUAACUGUUAGCAUUACAAUCCUAGCCAUAUGAUAUUCUACAAAAAUAAUAUCAAUUCCAUUGCUCAAAGUUCAACCAAAGCCAAUUAACCAAAGUUCAUUUCUAUCCAGCAGAAAAAAAGCUUGAUUUAGAAGUUUUUAAUAAAUAAUAUUCCCAAAAUUAAAAAAUUUUUUGUGUAUGUAAACAUUUUUUAAAGCUAAUUGCUUGCAAUCUGGGAUAUCUGAAAAAUGCCUACUUUUAUCUCAGCAACAAGUCCACAUCACUCCUCCCUCCCUCUCUACUACAUCUAACCUACUUUUCACAGAUAAUUCCACAGAAAGAUGAGUUUAAAGUUAGUGUCCUUUCUUGGACAGUACAUUUUUCAAAAAUUAUUAGUGAACACAUUGUUGUAGUUUCUAUCAUGAGUUUCUUGCUGUGUUUAUUAAACAUUUGAAACAAAGUUGGAGAAAUUUGUGGAACAAUUAGAGAAUUUUGCCAAAUAUCUCAUUUUUUCAUAUUUCUUAUUUAUUGGGUCCUGUCAUGUUUAGUAAGUGUCUUAAGAGUAGAAGUUUGAGCAGCUAUUCAGUCUUACACUCCGUAAUUAUUUGGCUUCUAUUCUGUAUACCUAAUAAAGCAUUUAAUUGACAGUUCCCCCAGUUUACAUAUUCUUUUGCAUACUAAUGCCUACAAGUUUAAAUACUAUGCUACUUUUUCAUGCCUUGCCAUUAAAUAAAUGCUCAUUUUCUGCUUUAAA